GUGGGGAAUAUUGGGCAAUGGGCGGAAGCCUGACCCAGCGACGCCGCGUGGGGGAAGAAGUCUUUCGGGAUGUAAACCCUUGUUGUACGGGACGAAGGAAGUGACGGUACCGUACGAGGAAGCCCCGGCAAACUACGUGCCAGCAGCCGCGGUAAUACGUAGGGGGCGAGCGUUGUCCGGAAUCACUGGGCGUAAAGCGCACGUAGGCGGGCUGUCAAGUCGGCCGUGAAAGGCACGGGCUCAACCUGUGCAUGUCGGUCGAUACUGGCGGUCUGGAGUAUGGGAGAGGGAACUGGAAUUCCCGGUGUAGCGGUGAAGUGCGUAGAUAUCGGGAGGAACACCAGUGGCGAAGGCGGGUUCCUGGCCCAUGACUGACGCUGAGGUGCGAAAGCCGGGGGAGCGAACGGGAUUAGAAACCCCUGUAGUCC
rnacentral:rRNA from 1 species